GACAGAGGUCCCGAGCGUUAGGCGGAAUCACUGGGCUUAAAGCGUGUGUAGGCGGACUUCUAAGUACCUUGUGAAGUCCCACGGCUUAACCGUGGAACUGCUUGGUAUACUGGUUGUCUUGGGCCACCUAGGGGCUACUGGAACAAACGGUGGAGCGGUGAAAUGCGUAGAUAUCGUUUGGAACGCCAAUGGUGAAAACAAGUAGCUGGGGGUGUGCCGACGCUGAGACGACGAAAGCCAGGGAGCGAA
rnacentral:rRNA from 1 species